CCUACGGGUGGCUGCAGUGAGGAAUAUUGGUCAAUGGGCGAGAGCCUGAACCAGCCAAGUCGCGUGAGGGAUGACGGUCCUAUGGAUUGUAAACCUCUUUUGUCGGGGAACAAAGGCGUCCACGUGUGGACUGAUGAGUGUACCCGACGAAAACGCGUCGGCUAACUCCGUUCCAGCAGCCGCGGUAAUACGGGGGAUGCGAGCGUUAUCCGGAUUUAUUGGGUUUAAGGGGUGCGUAGGCGGACAGUCAAGUCAGCGGUAAAAAUGCGGUGCUCAACGCCGUACAGCCGUUGAAACUGGCAGUCUUGAGUGGGCGAGAAGUAUGCGGAAUGCGUGGUGUAGCGGUGAAAUGCAUAGAGAUAACGCAGAACUCCGAUUGCGAAGGCAGCAUACCGGCGCCCUACUGACGCUGAGGCACGAAAGCGUGGGUAUCGAACAGGAUUAGAUACCCCAGUAGUC
rnacentral:rRNA from 1 species